rnacentral:lncRNA from 1 species
AUUAAAUAUCAGAUAAUAAAAAUCAGAUCUAAUAGAUCUUAGAUCUAAAAUAUCGAAGGAUAAUUUUUUUUAAAAAUAUUCCGCCCCAGAUCUCAUUAGAUCUGAAAGAUCUUACAAGGAAAAAGGCGAUUUUUCCUUCAGGAGCUCUCCAGGAGGACUUGGCCAUGGGGGAGAGGUCAGGAAGAGGAAAGGAAAGAGGCACGUCAAGUGGACGAUCAAAGUCUCGAAAGAGCAGUAGCAAGAAAGAGGCUCGAUGCUACAAGUGUAAUGAGAUCGGGCACUUCAAGCGAGAUUGUCCACAAUGGAAGAGCAAGAAGGGAGACAAGGGA